rfam:Felis catus isolate Cinnamon breed Abyssinian chromosome C1, whole genome shotgun sequence.
GCCUGGGUGGCUCAGUCAGUUGGGCGCCUGACUUCAGCUCAGGUCAUGAUCUCGCGGUCCGUGAGUUCGAGCCUCGCGUCGGGCU